rnacentral:rRNA from 1 species
UGGGGAAUUUUGGACAAUGGGCGAAAGCCUGAUCCAGCAAUGCCGCGUGUGUGAAGAAGGCCUUCGGGUUGUAAAGCACUUUUGUCCGGAAAGAAAUCCUUGGCUCUAAUACAGUCGGGGGAUGACGGUACCGGAAGAAUAAGCACCGGCUAACUACGUGCCAGCAGCCGCGGUAAUACGUAGGGUGCAAGCGUUAAUCGGAAUUACUGGGCGUAAAGCGUGCGCAGGCGGUUUGCUAAGACCGAUGUGAAAUCCCCGGGCUCAACCUGGGAACUGCAUUGGUGACUGGCAGGCUAGAGUAUGGCAGAGGGGGGUAGAAUUCCACGUGUAGCAGUGAAAUGCGUAGAGAUGUGGAGGAAUACCGAUGGCGAAGGCAGCCCCCUGGCCAAGUACUGACGCUCAUGCACGAAAGCGUGGGGAGCAAACAGGAUUAGAUACCCUGGUAGUCCACGCCCUAAACGAUGUCAACUAGUUGUUGGGGAUUCAUUUCCUUAGUAACGUAGCUAACGCGUGAAGUUGACCGCCUGGGGAGUACGGUCGCAAGAUUAAAACUCAAAGGAAUUGACGGGGUCAUAGCUGUUUCCU